UCUCAUGGAUGAGCAAAGAAAGUGAUUUCCUGAGAUAGAGUCUGCUCCUGGUGAAGAUGCUGUGAA
rnacentral:pre_miRNA from 1 species